rnacentral:rRNA from 1 species
AGGUGUGAUCAUACCAGCAUUAAUGCACUGAAUUCCAUCAGAACUCCGCAGCUAAGCGUGCUUGGGCUAGAGUAGUACUGGGAUGGGUGACCUCCUGGGAAGUCCUAGUGUUGCACCCU